rnacentral:lncRNA from 1 species
UUGUUAUUGUAAAUAUUUUUUUGGGAAAACUUAAAAAAACGCUCCUGUAGUUUCGUAGUUUCUCACUUUGCCCCAUAUGAUUUACAAUGUAUCAAUUUGUCCCCCUAUGGUUUCUCUUUUCUCCUUUUUCUUAUCAAUUUCAUUACUUUUUUCUUAAAUGAGUGAUAAAGUUAAAAUUAAAGGAUACUAAAGUGAAUAUUUGAUAAAUCUAGAUGGAUAUCUGAAGUUUUUUGUAUAUAAUUUAAUGAAAUGUUAACGAAAAAGCUAUCGAAAAGAUAAAAACGAAAUCACAGGGGGACAAUUUGAUACAUUUUAAAUCACAGGGGACAAAAUAAGAAACUACGAAAUCAGGGGAGAGGUUUUUUUUUUUUUUAAGUUUUU